rnacentral:rRNA from 1 species
UACGUAGGGGGCGAGCGUUGUCCGGAAUCAUUGGGCGUAAAGAGCGUGUAGGCGGCUUGGCAAGUCUGACGUGGAAGCCCGCGGCUCAACCGCGGAUUGUCGUUGGAAACUGCCUCGCUAGAGUCCGGAAGAGGAGAGCGGAAUUCCUGGUGUAGCGGUGGAAUGCGCAGAUAUCAGGAAGAACACCCGUGGCGAAGGCGGCUCUCUGGGACGGUACUGACGCUGAGACGCGAAAGCGUGGGGAGCGAACAGG